AAGACAGCAGCAGCCGCGGUAAUACAGAGGGUGCAAGCGUUAAUCGGAAUUACUGGGCGUAAAGCGCGCGUAGGUGGUUUGUUAAGUUGGAUGUGAAAUCCCCGGGCUCAACCUGGGAACUGCAUCCAAAACUGGCAAGCUAGAGUAUGGUAGAGGGUGGUGGAAUUUCCUGUGUAGCGGUGAAAUGCGUAGAUAUAGGAAGGAACACCAGUGGCGAAGGCGACCACCUGGACUGAUACUGACACUGAGGUGCGAAAGCGUGGGGAGCAAACAGGAUUAGAUACCCCUGUAGUCCCUGUCUCUUAUAC
rnacentral:rRNA from 1 species